CUACUUCGGUGUCUACGACUCCCUCAAGCCUGUUGUCCUCGUCGGUGCCCUCCAGGGUUCGUUCUUGGCUUCCUUCAUGCUUGGGUGGGGUGUUACCAUCGGUGCUGGUCUGGCGUCGUACCCUCUCGACACGAUUCGUCGUCGUAUGAUGAUGACUUCUGGUGCUGGCGUUCACUACAAGUCUAUGUUCGAUGCCGGUUCGCAGAUUGUCGCCAAGGAGGGCGUCAAGUCGUUGUUCAAG
rnacentral:misc_RNA from 1 species